CUAGAGUAAGAGUGGAAAAGAGGAAAGGGUGAGGUAAUGAGAGAGGGCUAGAGUAAGAGUGGAAAAGAGUAAAGGGUGAGGUAAUGAGAGAGGGCUAGAGUAUGAGUGGAAAAUAUGAAAGGGUGAGGUAAUGAGAGAGGGCUAGAGUAUGAGUGGAAAAGAGGAAAGGGUGAGGGAAUGAGAGAGGGCUAGAGUAAGAGUGGAAAAGAGGAAAGGGUGAGGUAAUGAGAGAGGGCUAGAGUAAGAGUGGAAAAGAGGAAAGGGUGAGGUAAUGAGAGAGGGCUAGAGUAUGAGUGGAAAAGAGGAAAGGGUGAGGUAAUGAGAGAGGGCUAGAGUAAGAGUGGAAAAGAGGAAAGGGUGAGGUAAUGAGAGAGGGCUAGAGUAAGAGUGGAAAAGAGGAAAGGGUGAGGUAAUGAGAGAGGGCUAGAGUAAGAGUGGAAAAGAGGAAAGGGUGAGGUAAUGAGAGAGGGCUAGAGUAAGAGUGGAAAAGAGGAAAGGGUGAGGUAAUGAGAGAGGGCUAGAGUAA